CCCUUAGAUGUUCUGGGCAGCACGCGCGCUACAAUGGUCUUCGCAAACGGAUGCAUUCUCGAAGGAGAAUGCCAAUCUUGGAAUCUAUGCCUUGGUCGGGACAGUUGCUUGCAAUUUUUCGACUCGAACCAGGAAUUCCUUGUAAUCGUGAUUCAUCACAUCACGAUGAAUACGUCCCUGCCCUUUGUACACACCGCCCGUCGCUCCUACCGAUCGAAGAGUUAGGUGCAUUGUUUUGAUCGAUAAGAUUUGACUAUGGUUAACUCUCGUUGUGAAAUUCUGUGAAUCUGACUGUUUAGAGGAAGGAAAAGUCGUAACA
rnacentral:rRNA from 1 species